ACCAUCUGCCCUGAAUUUCCCUACCUUCACACCAGAACCUCCUAACUUCUCUGCCAAUUCAACAUAUGAUCCUUCCAUUGCCUGGCAGAAUUGGCACCAAGGAGCAUAAAGAACAACAAGCCAAGGCUCUCUUCCGUCUUCCAGUUUCAAUAGGUUCUCAACUCCAGGUCUACUCAAGGUAACAAUGCCCUUGGUGUCAAAAAUAUCAGCAACAGUGUCAUUUGUUUGGGUAGCAUUGUUCCCAUUACCAUUCACACUUUCAGCUUUGAUGUUUCCUUUAUGUAAGCCACAUUCCUUGGCCUUUGCAUCCUCCCACCACCACCUUCCUUCUCUCUCGUGUUGCCCAGGUAGGACCGGCCUGGUGCAAGGUUCACAUCCAAUAGAGACAUAACCUUUCAAAUGCAAAGAGUUCACGGGAACAUUCAUUGCACGUAGGAAGUUCCAUAUGUCCUUGCCUUCUACAUUAGCCACCGGGUUCCACUUCACCAAGCUUCCAGAGCCACCAUCCAAUCCCUCAAAAGAGGGGUCUACCUGAACAACCGGAACUUCAGAUCGAGUUCCAGGGGACUGAUCU
rnacentral:misc_RNA from 1 species